UACGGGGGGGGCAAGCGUUGUUCGGAAUUACUGGGCGUAAAGGGCUCGUAGGCGGCCAACUAAGUCGGAUGUGAAAUCCCCAGGCUCAACUUGGGAACUGCAUCCGAUACUGGAUGGCUUGAAUUCGGGAGAGGGAUGCAGAAUUCCAGGUGUAGCGGUGAAAUGCGUAGAUAUCUGGAGGAAUACCGGUGGCGAAGGCGGCAUCCUGGACCGGCAUUGACGCUGAUGAGCGAAAGCUAGGGGAGCAAACGGG
rnacentral:rRNA from 1 species